UACGAAGGGGGCUAGCGUUGCUCGGAAUCACUGGGCGUAAAGCGCACGUAGGCGGACUCUUAAGUCGGUGGUGAAAUCCUGGAGCUCAACUCCAGAACUGCCUUCGAUACUGAGAGUCUCGAGUCCGGGAGAGGUGAGUGGAACUGCGAGUGUAGAGGUGAAAUUCGUAGAUAUUCGCAAGAACACCAGUGGCGAAGGCGGCUCACUGGAUCGGUACUGACGCUGAGGUGCGAAAGCGUGGGGAGCAAACAGG
rnacentral:rRNA from 1 species